GUUAAUUGCUCGUUUGAUUAGGUACAAGCUUGCAACAGAAUCUGAUGCAAUAGUGAGCUUCUUAGUUGCAAAUUCUUUACCUUCGCCACCAAAUUCUGCGAGGGCAGCACGAAUUGCUGCCAAUUCAGCUCUCGUAAUAGUGUUUGUGCACCCAGCGCCAUUUGGAUUCACGUAGACAACGCGAGAAUCGCUGAACCAGGCGCAGGCGCCGGCAACCUGGACUUCUUUGCCAUUGUCAGUUUUGAUUUUGCUUACCGAACCAUCUGUCCAGACAGUGCCAUUCACGUCGUGGGCCAGAGCAUGGUGGGUCUGGAAUUGCGCGUUAGGAAAGCGUCGUGCUUCGUCAGCCAUGGCGUGUAUCGUCUUUGGGUUAGCGUGCUGGUAUUUGGCUUGCUUUAGAAGUGAGUUUGGGAGGGCCGGGCAGGUUGGGGCCGUGGCCGUGUGUGUCCACGUGCGCGGGUCGCUUAUGUGCGUGGGUGCGUUCGCCCCCCGUUUCAGUGUGUCCACGAGCCGUUUCAGGCGGGGGGCAAAGCACUGGAGUCCGGCGGGGUUCCCAACAAUGACCAGUCGGAGCCCCUUCUGGCGUUCAGCCUGGGUGUUGGUGUCAAGUCCUGUGUCAAGGCCCGCGGUGCCCGCGGACCAGUUGGCCAGCUCGCGGCAAAGUGGGUGUUGAAGCCACUGCGUGUGGGGGAAAGUGGCCGCUUUGGGGAGCGCCAAUACAGUAAGGGUUGGUUCCUGUGAGUCACGCAUAGCCUCGGCGCAUGCGAGGGCCCACAUGAGCGCCUUCCGUGCAUCGUGGGGGGUAGAGGGGGGGUGGGCAUAUUGCAAGCCGGUCCAUGCGGUCUGGUAGGCAUCAUGCAGUGCGCCAAAGGCCCCAUCAGCAGGGUCUCGUGUCCAGUAUUCGUGGGCUGCAGUGGAGGAGUUUAGUGGGGACGCAAACAUUUCCCGAAUGUGUACUGCUUGUGUGACCCGCAGGCAUUGGACGAUGGCUGCUACUGUGCCUGCCGGCAGCGACACCUGGUGCAUUGGCAUGGCCUUGCGGUCCUGCUGCGCCGGGUCAUAGCGGUAGCGCAUGAUGAGGGCAGCGACCGCUUCCUCAAAGGCGUUGGGUCGCUGGUUGCCGGUGUGCCUGAAGCGCUCCCACAGGGUAAGGAGGCGGGGGUAGGUGAUGGUGCCCAGCCAGCGGCCACUGGGUUCAUGGACGUGCGCCUCAGCUGGGUCACGGCGGGUGCCACCCGUGGUGGUAAUUGUGUAUGCUCCGGGGGCCACGAUGUCCUUGUAGGGGUUGCACGGGCUUGUGGUGAUGGUGGUGGUCGUGCGGAUGUCACGCGCGCGGGAUGCGGUAUCCAGGGGCUCGGCGUCAUGGUGGCCUUGGCGCUGUCUGGCGGUAAGGUUCCGAUCAGGUGCGGGGCGCACUGUUCUGGGCCGCGGGCCUUGGUUGGUACCGUUGGCUUGCCCCUUCCCCCGAAGGGGGAGGGGCGGAAGCCAUUGCGGUCGCAUCGAGUCCCCAGGCGGGGCCCCCUCGGUUAUUCCAGUUUUAUGUGCAGUUACGUCGGGAAACCCGAACGUAACCAGAGUUCUUGUGCAAAUAAUACGCCUUUCAAUGUGUCUGUAGCAACACAUAACUUUGCGAAAACACGAGGAAGACGUAAGACUAGAGGCAAAGGGAUCGCAGGCGUUGGAGGAUCCCGGCGCUCGAUAGCGCGAUCGGCUUUGUAUUUCCGCGGACGAUAUCCUUCAAAGCAAACAUUCAGACUUGGACGUUUACGAGUGCAGCGCAUGCGAUCUCUCCGAUCAGCGAUAGGAGAAACGCAAUGCAUGUGCUUCAUCGCGAUGCAUAAGCAGAGCUGAGUUUUGUGAUAUCAACAGUGCAUACUAUCGUGGUACGAGGGUUUGUCGAAAACGUGUGCGAACUCUCGGUCCCCUGCCCCCGCAGGCCCCCGCCCUUGCCCCCGCCCGCGCUCUCUUACCUUCGGCAAACGCAACUGUGUUCACCGGCGCCUCCCCGCGCAAAUCCCUCCCCUGAUACCAACCCCGCAACCCCCUCCCACUCCGUUCGCACAACUGCGACUGCGCGGAAUUGGAAGUUGGGAAUGAGCCCAUACCCGACAGCUGGGAUCGGGGGUAAAUUUCCUGUCAUGCUGGCCUGCAAUGGUGCGCAAUGCGACAGGGGGAGGGGGCAAGCCGGGGUACUGCGUAGCGGUAGGGGUUUGCUAGCCGGGUUUUGCACUCCUCCAGUAACUCCUCCCAUUGUGGACUGUGUUUUAGGUCCCGUUCACGGUCCGUGCUCGGCGCCCACGUGACAUGUCGUAGGAGUUUGGUCGUCCAGGACGAGAAUAGGGGGGCCCCAGUGGGCUGCGGUGCUGCCGGCUCUGCAGCUUGGGCAGGCUCUUCAGGUGAGAUUGCGUGGGCUUGGGUUUCAGCCGGAGGCUCAGCCUCGGUCUGCGCAGGUUGUGGGCCUGGGCGUGUCGCAAGAGGGUGCUUGUAACACCUGGCAUUCUGGAUAGUUGCGUAGCCCAUGCGAACAAAAGCAGAGACAAUGCCGGCCGGGCAAAUGGACGGCUUCCACUGCACCUUCCAGUAUUUUUCACGUGUCCCAGAGGUGUCCUCUCUGGCUUUGCGCUUCCGUGUCAGUUCUUUGUCCGUGACAGUUUGUUUGUUUUCGCUGUGCAGGACCUGUGCUAGGUCCUGUCCGUCAUUGUCCAGGUCGUAGGUGAGUUGAGUGUCACCGUUAGUGCGGUUGUCGGCGGGCCGUGGGACUAGAUCGUGUGUGAUCCUGGCGCGGGCCAGUCGCCAGCUGGGACGGGCCCCGUGGCCUCCCGCAGCUUGCGCUGCCGGGGCGGUCAGGGGCGGCGUCGGGCUAUUGGCGUCCAUGGGGUCGUUGUGAGCGGCAGCCUGGUUGACUUCCAUAGGCAAUCCUGUGUUGUUCAGAUACUCGCUUAUGGCGUUGGGUUCGGGGUUGGCGGCAUUCGCCGUGAGGCGGGAUGUGAGGGCGGGUGGUAGCCCACGGCGCUGUUGGCGUGGUUCGACAGCAUGUGCAAGGGAGGGUGGGUCUUGUGGGUGUGGGUGGCAGAUCCGCAUGUGUCCUGUCAUGUCUUUGGCGAGCGCUUGGAAUACCGAGCAUGCCGUUUCGUACCCCCGCGUGCCCACCGGCAGGCUCUCAUCGCCGUUGGUGAGCCGCAGGGCAUGGUUGAUGGCGGCGCGGUCCCCGGUGAGUAAGUCCUCAGGGGUAGUGCGUGUAGUUUCUGCAAUGCGUGCGCGUUGCGCUGCAUGUUUUGUAACGCGCCGUGUGCGUGUUUGGUUCUGUGGCCGGCGUGUUGUAGCCGGCUUGCGGGCUCUGGCCGGUGGCCGUAGGGAGGGUUGCGUUGCCCCAUCAGCGGGGACUUCCGGUGCAGCAGCACCUUGUGCGCCGGGAUGGGCCUGGGCCGCCCCUGCUGGAGAGGGGGGGGCUAGGUCGGCGGGGGCUUGCGUGGUGUUUGCUUGGGCGGGGGGCGCCUCCGGGAGGGGCUGCAGGUACCGGUCGAGGGGGUUGGCCAUUCCGAGAGGGAGGGGGUCCGCCCUCAUGGCUAAGGCCACGAUUGCGGCCACGUCAGGCAGUGCACGCUGUGCGGUGGUCAGGGGGGCAGGGCUGCCGUGGGCUGGAGCGUUUUCCCCUGCACGUGCAGCCAUACUGAGAGCAAGGCUAAGCCUGUUCAGGGCUACCUUGUGCUUGUGCCGGACCCGGCUCGCUCCCAUGUGCUUCUCGAGGUCCGAGCUAGUAAUCAGGUGUUUGCCUGUGUUGCGGUCCACCAGGUGGCUUAGUUCGAGCCUCAGGUCCGCAAGAGGGAGGACGUAUUCAAUGGGGAGAGGUUCGACGCCCCGGGCCUCAGCUUCUGCCUCAAGGGCAGCGGCAAUGGACCAGGUAGGCACAGUAAAGGCAGACCCAUUUUGGUACAGUGUGACACCGUACUCUUUUGCCAGGGUCAUCUGUUUCAGCGUUGUAAGGUGGUGUGACCUAUGGGCUGGGAGAAGGUGGGCCUGUGUGGGGCCAGCUAUGCUUGCCUGGCGCGUCAGAAGGGCUCGGGUUACUAUCCCAAGACGGCCCGAGUCAUUUAGGGCAAGGACCAGGGCUCGCUGGGCCACGCGCGCGUAUUGCGGCAGGAGGGAGCCCAGGCCCAAGCCGUAUUCGUUGGCGGGCAGGAGGGAGGUCCGGGUGGGGAAGCUGCGGGGGAGUCCGUAGCAGCGCUUUGCAUAACCAGCCAGGGUAGUGUCGAGCGUUGUUAUGUCCUGUUUUGUGAAGGGCAUUGCUGCGAAUCCAUAUGCAACUGUGGUGUGCACGCACUGUUGUAUCAUGCGCAGGCGUUGUGCCGGUGUCGCCAGGGAUGUGGCAAUGGCUGUGCCCUUGUCCUUCACAAUCUCGGUGACUCUUGCGACAUGUGCCGACCAGUCCAGCGAGAACGUGAGCUGCACUCCCAGGUACUUGUACGGCUGGGUCGGGGGGAAGUACGGGACAGGGGUCGUGCCAAUCUUAAUUGUGUUGGUCAUGUUGCGGCGCAUGGCGGCAAGGGUAGCUUUUCCUGUGGGCCCAUCAAGGUUGGGGUCCGAGCGAGAUUUGUCGUGCCAGAUGGCGGUGGUGGCACACUUGGUGUGAUUGACACGCAGGCUCGCCCACUCGGCGUAAGAUGCGAUUUUGUCACAUUGAACCUGCAGGUCGUCGAGCGAGUUGGUGAGCGCCGCCAGGUCGUCUGCGUACGCGGCGGCACUGCAAUGGUAUUGCAGGUUUUCGCUGGGGGUCAGGCAGCCGUAGUGGUAGCCCCGUCCGCCCGCAUGGAGCCAGCGGACAAGAGGUUCCAUGAACAGAAUAAAGAGCACAG
rnacentral:lncRNA from 1 species